CGCUGGCGGCAGGCCUUACACAUGCAAGUCGAGCGGUAGAGAGAAGCUUGCUUCUCUUGAGAGCGGCGGACGGGUGAGUAAUGCCUAGGAAUCUGCCUGGUAGUGGGGGAUAACGUUCGGAAACGGACGCUAAUACCGCAUACGUCCUACGGGAGAAAGCAGGGGACCUUCGGGCCUUGCGCUAUCAGAUGAGCCUAGGUCGGAUUAGCUAGUUGGUGGGGUAAUGGCUCACCAAGGCGACGAUCCGUAACUGGUCUGAGAGGAUGAUCAGUCACACUGGAACUGAGACACGGUCCAGACUCCUACGGGAGGCAGCAGUGGGGAAUAUUGGACAAUGGGCGAAAGCCUGAUCCAGCCAUGCCGCGUGUGUGAAGAAGGUCUUCGGAUUGUAAAGCACUUUAAGUUGGGAGGAAGGGUUGUAGAUUAAUACUCUGCAAUUUUGACGUUACCGACAGAAUAAGCACCGGCUAACUCUGUGCCAGCAGCCGCGGUAAUACAGAGGGUGCAAGCGUUAAUCGGAAUUACUGGGCGUAAAGCGCGCGCAGGUGGUUAGUUAAGUCGGAUGUGAAAUCCCCGGGCUCAACCUGGGAACUGCAUUCAAAACUGACUGACUAGAGUAUGGUAGAGGGUGGUGGAAUUUCCUGUGUAGCGGUGAAAUGCGUAGAUAUAGGAAGGAACACCAGUGGCGAAGGCGACCACCUGGACUGAUACUGACACUGAGGUGCGAAAGCGUGGGGAGCAAACAGGACUAGAUACCCUGGUAGUCCACGCCGUAAACGAUGUCAACUAGCCGUUGGGAGCCUUGAGCUCUUAGUGGCGCAGCUAACGCAUUAAGUUGACCGCCUGGGGAGUACGGCCGCAAGGUUAAAACUCAAAUGAAUUGACGGGGGCCCGCACAAGCGGUGGAGCAUGUGGUUUAAUUCGAAGCAACGCGAAGAACCUUACCAGGCCUUGACAUCCAAUGAACUUUCUAGAGAUAGAUUGGUGCCUUCGGGAACAUUGAGACAGGUGCUGCAUGGCUGUCGUCAGCUCGUGUCGUGAGAUGUUGGGUUAAGUCCCGUAACGAUCGCAACCCUUGUCCUUAGUUACCAGCACGUAAUGGUGGGCACUCUAAGGAGACUGCCGGUGACAAACCGGAGGAAGGUGG
rnacentral:rRNA from 1 species